rnacentral:tRNA from 1 species
GUUAUUUUGGCAGAUUAGUGCAUUAAAUUUAGAAUUUAAUUAUGUAUAUUUAUAC